rnacentral:lncRNA from 1 species
AUGAUGGGGGGCAGGGUUGGGAGAUUGGGAGGCCAGGGCUCAGCUACCCCGGCCGGGAGAACAAAAGCUGAGUUGCAGCCGCCUCCGCCGCUGCCGCCGGCCGAGCUCUUUGUGACACUUUGUUUGGGACGCAGAGAGGGAAGCACCCCCCAUCCUCUCCCCUCCCCCACCCCCGCUCCGGGAGAGUUUGGGUCCCUUCCCCCUCUUCUAUCAGCCCUACCUGAGCCGGGGGGCGCUCAUCCACUCUGGCUCCCGGCUCGGCCGCCCUGCACCCCCAGGCCCCUCGCGCCCUGCCUUCGGGCCCCUACAAAGACGUCCGCGCCCCCCCCCCCACCCGCUGGCCUUUCCCCUUUGGUGUCCGCUUUCCCGGCUCCCCCACCUGGCCCCCCCUCCCUCGAGGCCCCCCAGCUCUCUCGGCUCCCGAGGCCGCCGCCCCCACCCCGCCCCCCCAGGAGCUCUGGGCGAAGUUUGCUUGGGGCCGAGCCGGCGCCCCUCCCCCGCCCCCGCCCCCUGCACCUGCUCCGAGCCGGGCGCGCGGAGCGGGCACCCCCUCCGGGUGGGGGGGAGGGGGCCGGGGGCGGGGGCCGGGUGGCGGAGGGGGGGGGCCGGGAGUGGGGGGGAGCGGCUACUCACGAGCCCCGGGCGGGCGGCGGCGGAGCGGGCGGCGGCGGCGGCGGCGGCGGGCGGCGGGCCGGCGGCGCGGGCGUCAGCGUUACGUGGGGCCGGGGGAGAUGCGCCGGGCCCCGGCCCCCCCCGCCCCCGGCCCGGCCCCCGCCCCCUCCCCGGUCCCCCGCCCCCGGCCCUGGCCCGCAUUGUGUGCGGCGGGAGGCGGCCCGGCCAUUAGCAUGCGGGGGGCGGCGCGGCGGGGCUGGGAGCCGCGCGGGAGCGGGAGCGGGGCUCUGGCUCCGGGGACAGGGAGCUGGGGACCCCGGGAGCCGCGAGAGGCGGCCGCCAGGGGCGGGGGUACGGGCAGUUUGGAGACGGGGGGCGCUGUCGGAGGGAGGGAGGGAGUGA